UGCCAGCAGCCGCGGUAAUACGUAGGGGGCAAGCGUUGUCCGGAUUUACUGGGUGUAAAGGGCGCGCAGGCGGAUUUGUCAGUCAGGGGUGAAAUCCUACAGCUUAACUGUAGAACUGCCUUUGAUACUGCAAAUCUUGAGUUCGGAAGGGAGAGGCGGAAUUCCAGGUGUAGUGGUGAAAUACGUAGAUAUCUGGAAGAACACCAGAGGCGAAGGCGAUCUCCUGGAACAAUACUGACGCUAAGGCGUGAAAGCGUGGGGAGCAAACGGGAUUAGAUA
rnacentral:rRNA from 1 species